rnacentral:rRNA from 1 species
GUGCACGCUGGCGGUAGGCCUAACCCAUGCAAGUCGAACGGCAGCACAGUAAGAGCUUGCUCUUACGGGUGGCGAGUGGCGGACGGGUGAGGAAUACAUCGGAAUCUACUUUUUCGUGGGGGAUAACGUAGGGAAACUUACGCUAAUACCGCAUACGACCUACGGGUGAAAGCAGGGGAUCUUCGGACCUUGCGCGAUUGAAUGAGCCGAUGUCGGAUUAGCUAGUUGGCGGGGUAAAGGCCCACCAAGGCGACGAUCCGUAGCUGGUCUGAGAGGAUGACCAGCCACACUGGAACUGAGACACGGUCCAGACUCCUACGGGAGGCAGCAGUGGGGAAUAUUGGACAAUGGGCGCAAGCCUGAUCCAGCCAUACCGCGUGGGUGAAGAAGGCCUUCGGGUUGUAAAGCCCUUUUGUUGGGAAAGAAAAGCAGCAGGUUAAUACCCCGCUGUUCUGACGGUACCCAAAGAAUAAGCACCGGCUAACUUCGUG